CAGCCGCCGCGGUAAAACGUAGGUCCCGAGCGUUGUCCGGAUUUAUUGGGCGUAAAGGGAGCGCAGGCGGUUUAGUAAGUCUGAAGUUAAAGGCAUUGGCUCAACCAAUGUAUGCUUUGGAAACUGUUAGACUUGAGUGCAGAAGGGGAGAGUGGAAUUCCAUGUGUAGCGGUGAAAUGCGUAGAUAUAUGGAGGAACACCGGUGGCGAAAGCGGCUCUCUGGUCUGUCACUGACGCUGAGGCUCGAAAGCGUGGGUAGCGAACAGGAUUAGAUACCCCUGUAGUCCCUGUCUCUUAUACA
rnacentral:rRNA from 1 species